UAUUGGUCAGCUGCAACUUCGAGUGCUCAAGGAAGGGGAUAAGGAGCUAGACCCAAAUGAAGACAGCUGUGUUGUUUGUUUCGAUAUAUACAAAGCCCAAGAUGUAAUACGUAUUUUAACUUGCAAGCAUUUUUUCCACAAGACGUGCAUUGAUCCGUGGCUUUUAGCCCACAGGACGUGCCCCAUGUGCAAGUGUGACAUUCUGAGAUCUUAAGAAGCCCAGAGAUCUUUCCACAGAUUAAAAUUAGGCGGAUUUGCUCACUGUGCCGUCCAUCCAGAGAAGACAUGACCCUUAGUUCCUCUGUCCUGCCACGGAAGAUGAAAUUUGUGUGCUUUGAAAAUAAAGCUACCUAUCACGUCCGUG
rnacentral:lncRNA from 1 species